CAAUAGCGUAUAUUUAAGUUGUUGCAGUUAAAAAGCUCGUAGUUGGAUUUCGGGUGUGAACGACCGGUCCGUCUUUGAUGUGUACUGGUUGGUUGCGCCUUAUUGUCGAGGACGUGGUUCUAGCUUUCAUUAGCCGGGACACGGAGUCGGCAGCGUUACUUUGAGAAAAUUAGAGUGUUCAAAGCAGGCUAUCGCUCUGAAUACUACAGCAUGGAAUAACACGACAGGACUCCGAGCCUAUUCUGUUGGUCUUCGGGACCGGAGUAAUGAUUAAGAGGGACAGUUGGGGGCAUUCGUAUUCCGAUGUCAGAGGUGAAAUUCUUGGAUUAUCGGAAGACGAGCAUCUGCGAAAGCAUUUGCCAAGGAUGUUUUCAUUAA
rnacentral:rRNA from 1 species